rnacentral:rRNA from 1 species
AUGUCCUGGUUUCCUAAACUACGGGAGCUCAAGGUUAUACGCUGCCUCAAAUUGGCGUCAUUGCCUCCAAUCCCUUGGACUCAAGCUCCGUGCUCUGCUGAGAUAAGAAAAGCAGGAUCAGUAUUUGGGAGGCUUGUUUACUCGAAGAACUACAAAUCCGAAUUAAGUUUGGAAAUUGAGGGAAAAGAUGGUCAGCAUGGCGUGUUCUGGAACGGGUUGGCUUUCCAUAAUCUAGCUGACCUUAAAGAGCUGAAGGUGAGGAACUGCCCUCCCCUGCCACUGAUUCACCUCCAAAAGCUAAAAUCUCUGAAGUCCCUCGGGAUAACCGGCAUGAACAACUCGUUGCUGCUGUUUGAAGGUGAAAGCUAUAAUACUGAAUGCCUGCUUCCAGUUGAACGCAUAGAGAUCGAGCACUGUGGUGCUGAUGGGAAGAAACUGACACAAGUGUUAUCUCAUUUCCCGAAGCUGACCGAGUUGGAAGUGAGAAGGUGUGACAAGAUAACAGAGCUUGGCGUGGCGGUGCUUCUUCAGACGGAGAUGACGACACCAUCAUCUUCAGGUAAUGAAAUUGAAACUGAGCAUGCACAAGCUGAACAGCAUCAGACAAAAGGAGAAGAGGUAGAAGAUGCAGCAGCAGGAGGAGGAGGUCUGCUGCUCCUGCCUCGGCAACUACAGGAGUUGCGCAUCUCUGGUUGCAGAGGGCCGCGGUUACUCUCCGAUUCACUUGGCAAGGACAGCACACACGGAGGAGGGCUCCAGAGUCUUUGCUCCCUCCAAUUGUUCGGCAUACUUGAUUGCCCCAGGUUCCUCUCGUCCUAUUCGUCCUCCGCCUCAUCUUGUUUCCCCUUCCCGACCUCCCUGCAACAACUCGCGCUGUGGGGCGUGGAGGGCAUGGAGACGCUGGUUCCCCUCUCAAAUCUCUUCUCUCUCACCGAUUUAACCGUGCAUAACUGUGGGGAUCUAAGAGGCGACGGCUUAUGGCCUCUCGUCACCCAGGGGCGCCUCACACAAUUACGCAUCUCUGGAACCCCAAAAUUCUUCACUGGUUCUGAGCCCUCACGGCCACAUGACCAAGAGAUUCCUUCCUCUUCAUCCAAACUAGAAUUUCUCUUGACGGAUGACUUGACGGGAGUCCUUACCGUGCCCAUCUGCAGACUCCUCUCUUCCUCCCUCACCCAAUUAAUCUUUUGGGAUAACAAAGAGAUGGAGCGCUUCGCAGAGGAGCAAGAGGAGGCCCUUUACCUCCACGGUUCCCUCCAGAAACUUGUGUUUUCUCACUGCACGAAGCUGCAGCGCCUCCCUGCGGGGCUAACCAAACUUGCCAGCCUCAACAUAUUACGGAUCUGGUCGUGUCCAGCCAUCCAAUUGCUGCCCAAGGACGGACUGCCAACUUCUCUGCAAGAAUUAGAGAUCAGUAACUGUCCUGCCAUCAAAUCUCUGCCCAAGAACGGCCUGCCAAGUUCACUACGAAAAUUAGAGGUUCCUUAUGGCAUCAGCGAGGAGCUUAAAAGGCAGUGCCGCAAGUUAAAAGGAACCAUUCCAAUAAUCAAAGACUACGAUGACUAA